AGUGACCGGAGACCAUUCAUUUUCAAUGCGAGCUUCUGGCGACAUGUAGGCAUGUCCAGUGACUUUGAAAGUUGAGAAAUGUUUAUGCAAAUUUGGAGUGACUUUGGUUCAGUGACUACCAAUGGGAGUGAAGACAGUAGAGUGCACAUGAUCCGUAGCCACCCUUGCUCACUAGUAGAAGCAGCGGCAGUAGCCAAUUAGCUUAGCUUAGGAUCUUAGUGGGUUUAAAGCAAAAAAAAUAGAUAAAAUAAAUAAUAAUGAAACACACUUUUUGUUGCAAUCGAGCAAAAUCCGAGUGUAGCGCCUAUCGUGGGUGAAGUUUAGGUGACACAUUAUCCAGGAAACACAGAGGCCAUGGCCGAAGAGCUGCGGUCCAGCUCCCGGUCACCAUCGAACAUAUAGGGAAUGACGCCUCGAUGGUGACGCUCACUUACUGAUAUAGGAGCUACACCGGCAUUUUGCUCGAUUGAAACAAAAACUGAGUGUUUCAUUAUUAUUAUUUUGCUUUCAAUGCGCUAAGGCCAUAAGGCAAGCUAAGCUAAUUGGCACUUGCACUUUUGCCGCCGAUAGAUGGCUGCAGUGGCAAAGAGCACACACUGCUUCUCCUUCAUCUCGUAGGAUAUGCAUAUAUACACUGAGUUUUAUAUAAGAUCACUCUCCCUCCAGGAUAUUUAAUUUUAGCGGCAAGAAAACGUUCGUUGUCAAAAGUGGAAUGCUAGUUGCGUCACUCAUGUUACUAUGGCAACCAGUAGUAGGAACGGCCACUGGCGACUUCAUAGUACAACAACUGGUGACUUGCAGCGAAAAAAAUCACUUCCCAUGCUUGCAGUACCGCAUUUGUCCACAUGGAACAGAAAUGCUCCCUUGCGAGGAUGGUUUUCUAGUCGUGGAUACUGUUCUGUGCGCUCAUAUCGCAUGCACAUGCCUGGUUUUUAUGUGCCCGAAAACUGCUUUUCACCUCCAUCACUAAAAUCAUUGACUGAAACUUUGGCUGUUUUGUAAUACCCUUCAUUCAUUUUACUCUACAUUUAAAUUAAGG